UACGUAGGCAGCAAGCGUGGUUCGGAAUUACUGGGCGUAAAGAGUGUGUAGGCGGUGAUUUAAGUUUGUCGUGAAAUCUCCCGGCUUAACUGGGAGGGUGCGGCGAAAACUGGAAUGCUAGAGGAUGGGAGAGGUAAGCGGAAUUCCUGGUGUAGCGGUGAAAUGCGUAGAUAUCAGGAGGAACACCUGUGGUGUAGACAGCUUACUGGACCAUUUCUGACGCUGAGACACGAAAGCGUGGGUAGCAAACAGG
rnacentral:rRNA from 1 species